rnacentral:rRNA from 1 species
AACUGCAGCCAGACCACUUCACAUCAUGAUCUCAUCUGAUCUCACCAUCUAGGCAGUGUUGGGUCUGGUCAGUACUCCAAGGAAAACCCAGGGUGCUGCAGGAA